rnacentral:rRNA from 1 species
UACGAAGGGGGCUAGCGUUGUUCGGAAUCACUGGGCGUAAAGCGCACGUAGGCGGACUUUUAAGUCAGAGGUGAAAUCCCAAGGCUCAACCUUGGAACUGCCUUUGAUACUGGGAGUCUUGAGGUCGAGAGAGGUGAGUGGAACUGCGAGUGUAGAGGUGAAAUUCGUAGAUAUUCGCAAGAACACCAGUGGCGAAGGCGGCUCACUGGCUCGAUUCUGACGCUGAGGUGCGAAAGCGUGGGGAGCAAACAGG